AGGGGGGAGGAAAAUAGCCGUUUUCAACGGCUAUUUUCGUAAAAAUGACCCUUUUACCCCUCCCAACAGUCCAAUAACGGCUGAAUUGAGGGGUAUUUUGGGAAAAAAAAUUUUUGGGCUUCUAUAAAUAGCCCAUUCCUCCCUCGUUCUCACCACACCAAACCUCUCAUUCUUUCCUUCUCUACUGCUAUUAUUUCUCUCUUCUAAAGUACUCUUCUAGCAAUUUAAUUUUUAGUUUGUUCAAGUGCUACACAAGAGGAGGUUCCUAUUGAGAAGAGAAGGUCGCUUCUGUUGAGAGCACAAGAGGAAGCUCGGAAUCUCGGCUCUGCCUCUGCCCUCCGACCCUCUACUCAAUUUCUCCUUGCGGUUAGUUUUUAUUUUUUGAAUUAAUCAUAGAUAUGUCAUCUUUUGAGGAAAGUCAGUUUGGCAUUCCUCCUGUUUCUGAGGGAAAAGAAACUAAUCCCCAACCCUAUGUUCCUAGUUCCUCUAGAACUGGUGAACCGAAUGAAGGUCAAACCUCUUCUCGUAAGAGGACUAGUGCUGUAUGGAAUGAAUUUAAUAGAGUUAUGGUUGAGGGAGUCUGGAAAGCUAAAUGUAAAAAAUGUGCCAAACUUUAUAAUUGUAGUAGUAGUGGGGGAACAGGGCAUUUAAAAAGACAUCAAGAGAG
rnacentral:lncRNA from 1 species